UAAAAUGCCAUGAUGGAGAUAAGUAAGCAGUACAUCUUUACAGGGAGGAAGCGCCUUAGAUUGAGAGCGAUUCUACUGAAACAGACUGCCGAAAUUCCCUCCGGAGCAGUUCCUUGAACCGUUUCGCCGCGUUAUAUUCAUAUGAAGACGUAGCGAGAUAUGAUUAGAGGAUACCGGUUCUCGAGCCGUUAUUUCGAUUUGAGUGAGAAAUAUGGGCCUUCUAGGGAAGGCAUGUUUUUCUAACAAGGGUGGUACCACGGUCUUUUCGUCCCUUUC
rnacentral:ncRNA from 1 species